UUAAUAAUAUGAUGGUUUUAUUUAUUUAUUUAUUUAUUUACUACGAUUCUAUUUAUAUCAUAAUAUUAACAGAAUAAUACAUAAACUUAUUUUAAAAUGUGAUCAACAAACCACAUAUAUGAACUAAAAGUAAUAAAACAUUUUGAAGACUUAAAUCAUCUAACAACUAAAGUUAAUAUUGCAAUUCAACAACAAUGUAUAAAAUCACUAAGUAU
rnacentral:lncRNA from 1 species